AUGAGCCGCCGUGGAGAGUGGUUAUGUGGGUAUUGCCAACACUGGAACUUCAGAAGCAAAGAAGCCUGCCAUCAGUGUGGCAACCCGAUGUUCAGUGGCGGAAGUGAUAUGUCAUGUGGGACAGAUGUUCUUCCUGGGGAUUGGUACUGCCCUGCCUGUGCAGCUCACAAUUUUGCCAGCAGGACCAACUGCUACAAAUGCCAAACCCCUAACUUGAUGGGCCCUGGAGGCAUCGCAUACGGAAGUGUUCCGCCUGGCUGGAAAACCGGUGACUGGAUCUGCAACAGGUGA